AUUUUUUGGGUGGUUUCAUUUUUUUCGUUUUUCUCUUUUUUAGUUUUUGCAGGCGUUGUAAAAAAAAAAAGAAAAAGGGAUAGAGCAUAAAAUGA
rnacentral:ribozyme from 1 species